rnacentral:rRNA from 1 species
UACGUAGGGUGCGAGCGUUAAUCGGAAUUACUGGGCGUAAAGCGUGCGCAGGCGGUUUUUUAAGUUAGGGGUGAAAGCCCUGGGCUUAACCUAGGAAUUGCGCUUGAGACUGGAUAGCUUGGAGUGCGGCAGAGGGAGGUGGAAUUCCACGUGUAGCAGUGAAAUGCGCAGAUAUCAGGAGGAACACCAGCGGCGAAGGCGGCGCUCUGGGCCGGAACUGACGCUGAGGAGCGAAAGCGUGGGUAGCAAACAGG